AGACCCAGAAGGGCGACCUUGUGUCUUUAAGGCUGAUGGUGUUCAGCUGCACCGCUCAGCAGGCAGUAAUUAGGCAGCUGCUUUGCCCAGAAACUUAAAGCAGAGCCUGAGUUGCUCUGUGCUCUUGAAUUAAAAACACACCAAAUAAAACCAACUGAAAGCCACAACAAACCCCUCAGAAACAACAAGAAACCCCAAAACCUUCAUUCCAAUAAAGGAGGGUUUUUUACUGUCUCUUUUUCCUCCCAGCCAGGAUGGCAGCAAACAGAAGCCAGAGCCCCAGAGGGUCCUGAAGUCCUCUUGCCACGCAGGCAGUCCCCAGGGUGUGGUGCUCACAGGAGGAAGCAAUUAGGGCCAUUAGAGGGGCAGGUGGGGCCAGGAGAGCACGGCUGGAGGUCGGAGUGGGGCUGCAUAAGAGAGGAGCUCGGAGCCCAGCCGAGGCGGCUGCUGCAUCGUCUGGGACGGGUCGCAGCUUCCGUGGGGAUGAGGCUGAAGUGCGGCGUGGACGUGAUCACUACAAGCUAAUGCCUUUGCUCUGCUGGAAGGACAAUGCCAUGGCACAGCCACUCCACUGCCUGCUACUGGAGUGUUCAGCCUUCAGCAUUCCACACUUCAGCAUGGGAAAGCUGCACUUCCAGGUACAGACUUGGAGGAUUUUGGUGAUUCACAGACACUGUUUUGAAUAGUGGGCUACAAAUAUUUGGAAAGCUCUUCUCUCCUGGUGGCAAGAAUAGCAACAAGUCUGUGGUCAUUCAGCCCUGACUAGACUGCAAAUGCCUUCCUUCCAGCAUUCCUCUAACUCUGCAGCAGAUGCAUGAAGCAAUGGAGCCUCUUGAACAGGUGCAAAGGGACUCAAACUGAGAUGGAAUUCCAAACAAAUGAUCUUGAGUUCUCUUCUCCA